GGUGAACGCUGGCGGCGUGCCUAAUACAUGCAAGUCGAGCGAACGGACGAGAAGCUGGCUUCUCUGAUGUUAGCGGCGGGCGGGUGAGUAAUACGUGGAUAACCUACCUAUAAGACUGGGAUAACUUCGGGAAACCGGAUCUAAUAUCGUAUAAUAUUUUGAACCGAGUGGUUCAAAAGUGGUAGACGGUCUGGCGGUCACUAAUAGAUGGUUCCGCGCUGCAUUGGCUAGUUGGUAAGGUAACGGCUUACCAAGGCAACGAUGCAUAGCCGACCUGAGAGGAUGAUCCGCCACACUGCAACUGAGACACGGUCCCGACUCCUAAGGGAGGCACCAGUCGGGAAUCUUCGGCAAUGGGCGAAAGCCUGACGGAGCAACGCCGCGUGAGUGAUGAAGGUCUUCGGAUAGUAAAACACUGUUAUUAGGGAAGAACAUAUGUCUAAGUACAUGUGAACAUCUUGACGGUACCUAAUCAGAAAGCCCCGGCUAACUCCGUG
rnacentral:rRNA from 1 species